AGAACUUUCUAGAAUGGAUCCUAUUAAAACAAUUGCCUUUCUAGAUUGUAGAAGUAGAUCCUACUAUAAUAACUGUCUUAAGCCUUUCUAAAAGGCUCUAUGGUAGAUCCUAUAUGAACCACUAUCAUAACCUUAAUUCUAAAAACUUUCAUAAAACAACUCUAACUACAUAUUUCUAUAUGUAAAUAAUACAAAUAUCUUAUCCAUGCAUUGUUACAAUUAUAAUAACAAAGU
rnacentral:lncRNA from 1 species